AACAAAGGCAAUUCGUUCUGUAAAAAUACUCUAGAUUCUUUCUGAGGACUGGGCACUGCUCAUAGUGGGCACACCUAAAGUCAGCAUUCAGCCAACUCAGCGGGCUUUAAGAUGGAGCCUCUUAAACCUCCUGCAUCAAAAAGACAUAAGGGACUGUCCCUGAGAAGUGCCUGUGUCUCCUUUUAAGAGAGAGAGAGAGAGAUUGAUUCUGCCUCCUUGCAAUUCGAACUGGCAUUUUGCAGAACACUCCAAUCUGAAUCACAGUGGAGGGUCAUGGGAGGGAUUUGGCACAGGGGAGUCUUGGGUCUUUGGUUUUCCACAUUGAUCAAUGGGAUUGAUUUUUUCUGUUUUUGUUUUUGUUUUAAAAGAAGAGAAUGAGUUCCUUUUUCUGUCUCCAGGAUUGAAAACAUGAAGGCAAAGAAGAGAAACUCACAAUAUGUCAUUAACUUUGGGUUAUCAAUAUUAGUAGAAAGAAUCAAUGAUGGAAAGAAUCCUAAAGGACUAGAUAAUCCGCAUAUUCGACUUCCUGAUUAUGUGUUACUGACACUAACAUUUCGGAGUGUGGAGACCCUGCCCCAUCUGGGGAGAGGGAGAGACAAAGACCCCCUGUUUGUGGUACUUGAUUCACACAUAAUGUCCUCCAUUUACUGCUUUCAAGAAGUAACCUGUUUCUAAUCUUAAAUUUCAAUCUACUGAUCACAAAAUCAUAGAGAUCCUAGCCCUGAAAGAGACUUCAUGAGACCAUGUGACCAACUUUCUGACGCAGGAUUUGAACAUCGGAGAUUAAAAUGUCUCACAAGUCAGUGCAGCAGAAUUUCCCAGCGACUUCGGUGGCGGGAGAGCAGCACCUCUCAGGGACAGCUGUGCGCAUCCCUCGGGCCCCACCGACCGCACCAUCUGACCUGCGGGAAACGAAAUCUGAGCUCAGGAAUUUGAACGGCCCCACGCACGUUCAUUCCCGGAUAAAUCUCCUAGAGGACCGUGAUUUUUCCACUUAGAGAUUAUUUAGGGAGAUGUCCUGGAUGGGACAGGUAGACAAAUGGCGGCCCGAGGAAAAUGCAGGAAACUCUACAUUGUAGACGCUUAAGCACCUACUGUCUGGGCCCCGGGGCAGGGGGCGGGGGGCAUUA